CUGGCCCCGGCACGGGUGUCCCAUGCCCUCCCUCACCCCGCAGACCCUCCCCGUGCCCUCAAACCGCCGCUAACGCUCCCCUCACCCGCGCUGGGGGUGCAGCCCCCCGGUCCCAGCCCGGUGGUGGGGUGACCCCUGUGGGGUCUGAACCCUCCCAGACUCGCCAGCCUGCCUGGCAGCACAUUUUGGGAGGAUUCCCCCUCUUUUUGGGGGGAUAAUUGGGUCCUAGUUUGGCGGUGGGGGUGCUCUUGGGAGGCCCCCAGAUUUCCAUGGGGUGCUGGGGGCCAACUGGGGACAGGGAUGUGCUGGGCCCUGGGUGCUGCACCCCUCGGGUGGCACUGCUGGGGUGGGGGGGACGGUGACACCCCGCUCUGCUGCGCUGCUGCUCCCUGCUAUGCUGCACGGCACCGGCUUCCUCCGCUCCCCGGGAUCAGCAUCCAGCCACCUCUCAGCCCUCCGGGGCAAUUCCCUCCUCCCAAAAACCUGCCUAUCCCUGUCUGCUCCAAGGUCCGCCCUCCUCUCCCGGGCCACCCCUCCAGGAGGUGGUGUCACCUUUGGAUGGGUCUCAGGGGGGUAGGGACGGGCACCUGGAAUAUAACGCUGGAUGCAGCCGAGCAUCACCCAGGGCUGGACCCCGGGGCUGCCACGGGGCCCUCGUGCAAGAGAGGGUUCUCUCGGUGUGGCACAGUGCCCUGGACACCAUCCUGGCCGUGAGCGACUGGCAGCACCUCCCAGACCCCUCCUGCUGCAUUUUGGCCCUGUCAAGACCGUUUUUGUGGGGCAUUGUGGCCACCUGGCUGCGGGAGCAGCGGGACCGGCAUCCCCUGGAGUCCCUGGAGCUCCCCGGAGCGGGGGUCGAGUGUCUUUGCUUUAUUUGUUUAAUUAAAACCAAGGCAAGUAGGGCGGCCCAGGGGGCCCAGCCAUCGGGAGCCGGCACCCUCCACAAAGUGAUUCCCUGGGGAAGCCCAGUGGCCAAGCAGGACCACGGGACAGCCGGGUCUCGGGCUUUCCUGGCAGCAGGACCACCCUGGAGGACUCGGCCACACCGGGGCCCCUCCUCUGGUCCCCCCCGGGGUCACUCCCCGCCAUCCCCGGGGCAAAACAUCUCCCGUGCGGCGCCUUUUUAGCCGCGGAGGGUCCCCGCGCUCCGGACGAGCCUCAUCCCUCGCUGCCAAGGGCAGCCUGGCCACCUGGGCGCCCAUUUUCCCCCGGUGAAGAUAUGGCCCCUUCCUCCUUCUCGUUCUCCUCCUCCUCCUCGCGGGACGGGGCUCCGGGAGGCAGGAGCCAGCUCCAUAAGGAUGCAUCCGCCCGGGAAUCCACCAUGGUGUCGGCACCCAGGCUCCCUCCCUCCCCCGGUGCUGGAGCUGCUCUGAGCCCAGAAGCCCCUUCCCAUCCCCAAACGGGCCUUCCCGCCUCGCUUCCUCCCUCAGACGUAGGAGACUGUCAGGUUACGGCCUCCGGGGGGGGCUGGGGCAGGGCCCCCCUCGCUGCUGGCUCCAGGAGGGAUGCUCCUGUCUGGCACAGUGGGAUGCUGGGGGGGCUGGUGCCGCUUGCUGCUGGUUCCCACUCCCCGAACCACCACCCCGUGGGGAGGGGGAGUGAGGGGGAAAAAAUGGGACGUGGAGCAUCUCGGGGAGCGGGGGGUGCUGAGACACUGGCGACAGGAACCUCGGGAAGGUGGUGGGAUGGGAGGUCAGCUCAUCCAGCAGGGGGUGAUCCCAAACCCCUCCACUGCCAUUCCCAGUCUGGACACCCCUAGGAACCCACGCAAAGCCCACCCUCAUCCUCCCAGAGCCAAGCCCCGUGCCUCCUCCUCCUCCUCCUCCUCUUCCUCCCCGCAGAGCCGCUCGCCCCGGGCUGCCGAGGGGGCUCCCGGGGUGUCCCCCUCGCUGCUGCUUCCCCGGCUGCCGCUCCGCAUGUCCCCCCCCCGCCUCGCCCCCGCCACCCCCGCGCCCCCAUCGCUCCCCCCCUU